rnacentral:lncRNA from 1 species
GGUAUCAUCUCAAACCUCCUUCUAGGGUGAGUGUGGUAUCAUCUCAAACCUCCUUCUAGGGGUGAGUGUGGUAUAUUCGAUACCAAUUUCAUGUUCAUUCUUCCAAUAAUGAAUAUGUAUUCAUAAAUCAGAUGUUGUCACAUUCACUGCGGAGAUAUGUGAUUUUGUUAUCCUUUUGAAAUCUGUAAAUGCGUCUGGCAUUUGAUUAGCUAUUCUUUGCAAAUGGAUUAUAUUUUGCGCCUCUUUUUCACAAAUAGAGGUAUGUGGAUCAAGAUGAGAUAAUGAUGCAUUUUUCCACAAAAUUUCCCGUUUGGUUUCACCAAN